rnacentral:rRNA from 1 species
AGAGUUUGAUCAUGGCUCAGCCUGAACGCUGGCGGCGUGGCUAAGACAUGCAAGUCGCACGGGGUAGCAAUACCCAGUGGCGAACGGGAGAGUAAUGAAUCGCUAAUGUACCCCGGACUCUGGGAUAGCUACCCGAAAGGGUAGGUAAUACCAGAUGACAUAACUUACAGGCAUCUGUGAGUUCUCAAAGGUCCGCCGGUCUGGGAGCAGGCGAUUUCGUAUCAGCUAGUUGGUGAGGUAACGGCUCACCAAGGCGACGACGCGUAGCCGGACUGAGAGGUUGGCCGGCCUCAUUGGGACUGAGACACUGCCCAGACUCCUACGGGGGGCUGCAGUAACGAAUCUUCCGCAAUGCACGAAAGUGUGACGGAGCGACGCCGCGUGUGGGACGAAGCCCUUCGGGGUGUAAACCACUGUCAGGGGUUACCAAGUUCUGAGGAGCCCCAGAGGAAGGCACGGCUAACUCUGUGCCAGCAGCCGCGGUAAGACAGAGGUGCCAAGCGUUAGGCGGAAUCACUGGGCUUAAAGCGUGUGUAGGCGGAUUGGUAAGUACCUUGUGAAAUCCCACAGCUCAACUGUGGAACUGCUUGGUAUACUGCCUAUCUUGAGCCACUUAGGGGCUGUCGGAACAAAUGGUGGAGCGGUGAAAUGCGUAGAUAUCAUUUGGAACGCCAACGGUGAAAACAGACAGCUGGGAGUGUGCUGACGCUGAGACACGAAAGCCAGGGGAGCGAACGGGAUUAGAUACCCNNGUAGUCC